AGGGAUCAUUACAGAGUUCAUGGCCCUCACGGGUAGAUCUCCCACCCUAUGUUAUCGUUAUCUUCGUUGCUUUGGCGAGCCGUCAGGCUUUUUAGUCAGGCUACUGGCUUCGGCUAGUAAGCGCUCGCCAGAGGACCCCAAACUCUGAAUGUUAGUGUCGUCUGAGUACUAUAUAAUAGUUAAAACUUUCAACAACGGAUCUCUUGGUUCUGGCAUCGAUGAAGAACGCAGCGAAAUGCGAUAAGUAAUGUGAAUUGCAGAAUUCAGUGAAUCAUCGAAUCUUUGAACGCACAUUGCGCCCCUUGGUAUUCCGGGGGGCAUGCCUGUUCGAGCGUCAUUACAACCCUCAAGCCUGGCUUGGUAUUGGGCUUCGCCGUUUUGGCGGGCCUUAAAAUCAGUGGCGGUGCCGUCGAGGCCCUGAGCGUAGUAAAUAUCCUCGCUAUAGGGACCCGGUGGUUGCUAGCCAUGAACCCCCAACUUUCUAAGUUUGACCUCGGAUCAGGUAGGGAUACCCGCUGAACUUAA
rnacentral:rRNA from 1 species